rnacentral:lncRNA from 1 species
UACAACCAUUUACACAGCAGGGAGAUAAGGGCACAAAAGGGAGAGCUGCUGGGGUGCGGUCAAGGCCGUGGGUGACUCGCUGGUACACCCACCCCAUGAUGCAGGCGGUUACUCCCAAGCCCAGAACCAUAUGCUCUUAGCUCCCCUUUGUCGUUUGGAGCUUCCCAUUUUAUUUCCCUGAGAAAUCCCUGCUCAGCUGCCCUAGACUUGGGUGGGUGGUCCUUCUGCUUUUUAGGCCUGGGGUGCUUGUUGGGGCCCAGAGCUGGGCCUUGCCUGAGAGUCACGCAAAAGCAGGGCCUUCCAGUACUCCAGAGGGGUACUCCUGACCACCUGUAAGCCAUGGGAAGAAAGUCAAUGUGAUUGGAUCACGGCAGUGCCACACAGUAUGUCCCUUCUCAGGGGUUGGCCGAGCGAGGGCUGGAGGCAGUGUCUUCAGUUGCACCUAGGUGCUGUAAAGGUGACACUCCUGGACCUAGACCUGGGCCUGCAUGUGGAGAGAA